UACGGGGGGGGCAAGCGUUGUUCGGAAUUACUGGGCGUAAAGGGCUCGUAGGUGGCCAACUAAGUCAUACGUGAAAUCCCUCGGCUCAACUGAGGAACUGCCUUUGAAACUGUCGGGCUUGAGGCCGGGAGGGGGUAGCGGAAUUCCCAGUGUAGCGGUGAAAUGCGUAGAUAUUGGGAGGAACACCAGUGGCGAAGGCGGCUACCUGGACCGGUUCUGACGCUGAUGCGCGAAAGCGUGGGGAGCGAACAGG
rnacentral:rRNA from 1 species